GGAUUAUUAGGUGAAAGUAAAGUAAUGUAUGCUACCUUUAACAACAAAGAUACUCAGUUUAUUAAAUUAUUGAACAUUGAUUUAAAUAUUGCCAAUUAGCCUUCUCUGUCCUUAAAGUCUCCUGGAAUUCCCAGUUGUCACUAUACAUUACUCUUUCCCAGCUAUGACUUGAAUCAUACUUUUGGUAAUGUGCCAUUCUCAGUAACAGUGAUUAGUUGGAAAGAAGCAACUCAUUAAGAGGUUGAAUUCCUAAGUACUAACAGAUAUAACAGUCAUCUGACAGAUCAUCUGGCAAAAAAAUGUAUAUCCUUGCAUCCAGGAAAAAUAAAAUGCAGGUUCAUCAGUAACAAGAACUCUCCCUUUCUUGUUCUAUUCACCACAUGCAAGAUAUUCUUGGAAAUAUAGAAACUACCUUCUCCCCUACAACAUGAAUCACUUCUCCUUAAAAUUAAAAUACUAUAUGGUAG
rnacentral:lncRNA from 1 species